GGAGAGCAGGCAUUCCUGGCAAGAUGAGGUCCCUAUCUCAGCUCCUGUGCUUUCUGCUGCUCUUCAUCUCAGGUGUGAAAAUGGGCACUGCCCUUACCCAGUCCCCAGCUCUCCUGGCUGUGUAUCCUGGGGAAAGAGCCACCAUCACCUGCACAAGCAACCCCAAGGAGAACUCCAAGUUUUCUUGGUACCAGCAGAAACCAGGCCAGGCCCCUAAACUCCUGGUGCAUGGCACAUCUACCCUGGCUUCAGGAGUCCCAGCAUGGUUCAGUGGCAGUCAUUUGGGAGCAAAUUUUACCCUCACCAUCAGCAACGUGGAGAUAAAUGAUGCUGGCACUUAUUACUGUGUUGAGUGGCCAGGAGAUCACAGUGACACAUCCCUGAACAAAAACCCUCACAGCUGCGGAGAGCAGUGA